rnacentral:lncRNA from 1 species
GGAAGGCAGUUGCGCGGGGUGAGGAAGACGGCGGCGCGGAUGCGUAGGCGCCCAGCGGCGGUGGGUGCCUGGCCGGCGGCAGAAACGGCCGGGAGCAGGCGGCUGGGGGAGGAGGAGUAGGCGGUGGGCGGCAGCGCUCGCGGGGUCGGGACGGGAAGCUACAGCGGCGCUUGUGUGCCUGAGACGGGUGGCGGCGGUAGCGUUCGCUUGGCCGGGACCGAAGGCAAUGGCGACGCAGCGCGCCGGCCGGGAUGGGAAGCCGUGGUGGUGGAGAUACUCGUGCGACGACGAAUCGGGACGGCGAGGCCGGAGUGGAGCGCUCAGGCCGUCCGGCGUCGGAGUACGCUCCUGGUAGGAUAAGGGCGGUGGGGAGGAACAGGAGUGGCUCGUGGAGAGGAUGAGGGCGUUCGGAGAAGGAAGAAAAGGUUGGAGGGAAGGAAAUAAAAUAGAAAGGGGAAAAUGGAAGAGAAAAAAAGAGGGGAAGAGGAAGAAAAAGAAAAAAUUGAUCAAUAUGUAAUUAUACUCAUUAACUUUUUUAUUUAUAUGAACAACUAAAUUAAUUUGGUAAGGAUAUAUUGGACAUUUGACCACUUUCAUUCACUUAUGAGAGGUAUGAGAAGUCGUUCUACCCAACACUUUUUAGAAUAGUUUAAACACUUUUCAAAACGGUUUCAACUUCACUAGAGAAGUUGCUCCACCAGAAAAGCCAUAAUUGAAACGCAUUGCCAAACGAGCCCUCUAUGAAACCCUGAUGAAUUUGUUACUGCCUUUUUAUCUCUUCGACGGUCAAGAAUCUGCUGCGUAAAACAGAUAACAGAAUCUCCUGUGUAAGAAAAGUGAGCAUGCCUGGGAUGGAACAGCUCUGGUAAAACUGACCAAGA